rnacentral:tRNA from 1 species
GGGGAUAUAGCUCAGUACGUAGAGUGCUUGCCUCACAUGCAUAAGGCCCUGGGUUCAAUCCCCAGCACCA